UUCAUCUUGAGAUAUCGUAUUAACAAUCAAGUAUUUUAUCUGACUUAUAAAUUCACCAAGAUAUUUUCUUAAACAAAAAUUCAAUUCGGUAGACUGCAUUCAUUCAGCAAGCUGCAUUCUUCGAUACAGUAGGCUAUAUUCAAUAGUUUGAAUUUAAAGUUUAAAAAUUGGUCAUAGUUUGCUCCCACACUUAUUCAACCCCCCUCUAAGUGUGUCAUAUCUGAAUUUCAGUGGGCAAAGAAGCAAUCGUAGCCCAACCUGCAUCAAAAGAAUAAUAUAAUAAUAUAGUUCUCAAAGUACUAAAAUUCACACAGAUUAUUAUUCCUCAAAACAAUAGAAUCACCCUAGUUACCACUCUUGCACACUUGCAGAAGCUAAUAAAAGCAAGUUGUAUAAAUUAGCUCAAAAUAUAUUAUCUUCAAUAAUAACAUAAUCAUAACAAAAAGGUUUCAUAAAGAACAAGUCACCCUGUCUAAGACUGUAAUAGUCCAAAAAUUUAGCCAAUCUCUAUAAUAACCCCGGUAAAAGUAAUUACUUAACUCAUAACACCAUUUUAGUUAUUUUGCAUAAUCAUUUUCCAAAACCAAUCAACGGAGAAGUUAUAUACGUCACGUCCUUCAGCUCCUUUAGUUGGAGUCGUUAUUAACCAGAGAUAUACCUAUGAUUUAGACCCAAACUUUUAUUUACAAACCACAAUAGACAACAAUCAAAAUUUCAUAGAAAACAACAACGCAUCUAUUAUUAACAGUCCAUAAACAUAGUUUUAGAUACAUCAGUAAUCCUGAAACUAAUAAUUUCACACAUUAUAGAAUCAUACUUUUUGAGUGUCGAUCAUCAAAACCGCUCAGAUUAUUUUAAAAACACAAUAUAACAGCUUGAUGUAUUAGUUUUAAAUUGCAUACACAAGCACUUUAAUAAUUUCCAGAAUUUUAAUGAUAUUAUUAUUUCAUGCUUAAUAUGGACGAGUAAUUUGAUUUAAAUGAAAAGAGAUGUAAAUUGAUCUAAAUUCUCAAGUAUCUUUUGCUAUAUAAACAAUUAUACAAACAUCGACAUACAUUCUACAGAGUGAUUAAUAUAUUACUGUGACUUAAGAAUCUCUUUCAAUUAUGAAAUAAUGAUGAUACUAUUAAAUUGAAUUGGUUAAGAAAAUAAUGCAUUACCUCGCUUGCGAUGCUGGAUUCAAUUUCACAGUAAAACCAAAAACAGAGAUCGAGCAUGAAGAAAUGUGAAAUAUGUAAUUAUAAUACAUAUAUCAAUUUACAUGAAAUAUUGGAAGUAUUGCAAAUAUAAUGCAAAUUAUGUUUAUGUAUAUAUGUAAUGAAUUGAUAAAAUAAUGUAUUAUAUUUACGUGUAUGUAAUAAAAAUUCAUGCUGGUAUAUAAAGCUGGGACUUAUGAGCCAAAUAAAUAAAUAAAUAAAUGCUUGAUAUAAGAGAGAAGUAUGAGGUGGCAUCAGCUUAGGGAACUAAACAUCCACCAAGUAAUUGUAAACAUGAGCUGCCAACUAAGGAGAGUAUUAGCAAUACACUAACUAAGCUUUAAGCUAAUAUACUCUGCUCUGUGAUUACCAUCCAUUCCAAACCAUUUUUGUGUCUCUCUAUAUUGCCCAAAGUUACUCCAAUGAUCUUAAGUUUCCUUAAUUUCGGCUGAAAGCAACAAUGGUUCCAAGGGUUGAAGUUGCAAGCUAAAGUGAAAGCUAUUACCAGCAACAGAGCUAUACUUAAUCAUCAUCAAUCCUGAAAAGUGCAGCAAGUAUUCUUCUUAUAACUAAAAUUCUUCGAGGUAUGAAAACUUCCUUAAGCAACUUAUGAAAAAUUUCAGUUUAUAAUAUAGUAUAGUGCUAUAUUGGUUGUGUUUGGGCUGUGAUUUGUUAAGGGAAUUUAUGCAGGUCAUUAGGAGUUAUAAGGAAGGAAAUUUCUGGGCUUAUGAAAUCAAGAUGACUCUUGUAAUGCAUAUAAGAUACAGUUAUGUAAACUUAAAAUAGAUAAUAAAAGAUGUUUGUUUUGAAAUUAAAAUAAAGCUUUACAGUUAGUGUAAAAUAAACUCUUAUGGAGAUAGAGUUGUACGAGAAAUGAUAUAUAUUGAGAAUGGAGUUUUUAUUUAUAUUUACAACUAAUAUGUGUAAUGGACAUAUUAUAUUAAGGUUAAUCAUAUAGCCUAACAGACAAGCAAUAGAGACAGAGACUAAUUGCACUAACAGCACAACCAGCAGCCCAACAGCAAAGUAGCCAGACGACAGCAAAACAGACCCAGCCAAACCCAGUCUCAAAACAGCAUUGCAGCAGCAAACCCAGCCACCAUGCAAACCAGAUCAUAUUAGAACAGCAAAGAGACCCCCAAGCAAAUAAAUUUCAAAGACAUAUCACCCAGAAUGAUUGGCAAACUCCAUGAGACAAGAUCUUAACGUAUAUUCUGAAAGAUCUUAGGCAUUAAUGAUAUUAAAAAACACUAUACUUCAGGUAUGAAUUAACACAUAUCACCUAAAAUGUUAAUAUGCCUAAAAACCAAAUCCACUCUUUACCAAUUGAAAUUGCUAAAGCAUUUCAAAAAUUAAGAAACAACCAAUAGUCUCCAAAAUCAAAAUAUGACUGUAAUUAUUCUGAAAUAAAAUGUUCAAAACAUUCAUCUUUGCAACAUUAGCUAACAUGUUUCCGGCACGCAAUAUAAGUUCUUAUUUAAAGUUUAACUUAAAAUACAUAAAACAUAGCUCCACCUCAACUCAAAAAACUUGUUAAAAAGCAUCUAGAAGAAGCGGGGUGGGCAGGGGAAAGAUCCUCAAUGGACUAACUACUUACUAGAAACACUAUUGGAUCGCCAGCCUUGUAUGGGCGAUCAACAACCAGUUGAACAGCAUCGUCAACAUCAAUUAACAUGCCUUACAGUUGCUUUUAUAGGAUAACAAUGGAGUUUAAUAGGAACCAAUGCAAAUCUCUGUGCCAAACUAACUUUCUGAAUUCAAAGGGCAUCAGACAUUUAACAUAAAUGCUUGUAGGCAAUAGAACUAGGUAAAAUUAGCAUAAGAAAAUUCAUAUUUCCUUUUCUCUCUGUCUUAUUUGCAAAAUAUAAUCUACUUAACAUAACUAUUCUUUUGUUUGAGGCUGCAUACUAACAAAGAACAGCUAACUAAAGUAAACAUUUUGCACAAAUUAUUAUAUGAACAAAAGGAACUUAUAAAGUAACUCUUUAACAGUUCCAAGUUAAAUUGUAUCCCCAAUUAAAGAGACGAACCUGUAAAUGGACAACACAAGAUUGAAUGGCAACAAAGGCUUGUUUGAAAAUCUCAAAAGGAAAUGCUUUUGUAGGUAUAUCAUAUGGGUAUUGUUGCAAAAAGUAACAAACACAAUGAUAAAAACAUAAAAUUAUGAUAUGGAAUUGAAGGAAUAAAUAGUAUGAGAAGUCACUAAUCUUUGCAACAACAAAAAUAACCCNNNNNNNNNNNNNNNNNNNNNNNNNNNNNNNNNNNNNNNNNNNNNNNNNNNNNNNNNNNNNNNNNNNNNNNNNNNNNNNNNNNNNNNNNNNNNNNNNNNNAAGUUUUUCAUGGGUAUGCCCAACAAAAACUCACCAUUUAAAUAUUCAGAUUUAUUUUCUGAACUGUACUAAAAUAGUUUGCACAAGUAAGCCACUUGUACAUAAGAACACUUUAAGGUAAGGGCAAGAGAAAGCCACAGAAAACAAAGCAAUCAUAGGGCAAGAGAAGUCACUAAUCUUUGCAAAAACAAAAAUAACCCACUAAAAAAACAUAAUUAGACUCACUCAACAAGUUUACUUAAAAAGCUCAGAGCCUGUGAAAAUUAAAUACACAUACAUUAGGUUCAAAUUUUUGAAGAAAAUUAACCAAUAAACCAACACAUAUGCGAAGAAAUUAGAAGAAAUUAGAAACCGUCAUAGCAAAGAAGAAACAAACCUUCUCUUAGUGUCCCGUUUUUUCAAAAUUGCAUAAUUUCCCAAUCUUUUCAAUUGCUUUGCACAAAGCUUUUAGGGGGGGGGGACCAAAAAUGAUCUAGAAACACAGAGUAAUUGAUUUUAUUUGUGAUAUUUAGAGAGAAAAAGAAGGGAUUGAACUACUAUUAGAACUGGGGUUUUUUGAUGAAUUGGGCCGAGGGAGGAAAGAGAUGGGAAGUGGCUGAGGGGAGGCGAUAUAAGGAAAGGAUAGGCGCGACAAAGAAGAGGUAAUAGAGGAGAGGCAGUGGAGGCAAUAGAGGCAAUUGAUCCUAACUGAGGAAAGAGGCGUAAUUGUCAACAACAACCAACAAAAGCUCCAAACUGUAUUUAAAAAAAGGAGUUGAUUGUAUGAAGAAAAAAAAGGGCUGCUUUUGCAGAAGAGACUUUUUCUUAUAAUUUGAUAAAUAAUUACUUUUUUGAAUAAAAAAAUUGAUGGCAACAAAAAAUUAUGUUAAAUUUCAAAAU
rnacentral:lncRNA from 1 species